CUUUGGCAAAGCUUAGCCUUGCUAUAAAGUCACUCCAUGACUCACACGAAUGGCUGUGUUUGUUAAGGAGUCACACACCACUAGGAACAAAGAGUACUAUUAGUCGAGUAGCCAUAAAAAUAUACCUCCGGAGCACAUUUGAAACUGUGCUAAUUGAAACUUCCUCCUCAGAGGAGGCUGAUCAGAGCCAGCUGUAGUAGUCAAGCAAGAACAGAUUUCAACAUCGCAUUAAAAGCCCAGAAAGUUCAGCAAGAGCAGGCUCUGAGAGAAGAGCAUUUCAACCUGAACAAAUGCUCUCUAAUUGGCUCCUGAGACACAGAAAGAGUGCUGGUGACCUUCUCUUGAAGAGCCUGGAAAGAAACUUCUCCACAAGUAAGAUCUGAAAACAACAACAACAGCAACAACAACAAAAAACCUGUACUCCAGUUCUAAGACUGUGUUCAAGGAGCGUGCAUGGAAAACCGCAAAAGCUGUAUGAGCUCAGCGAAGAAGUGGAAGAUUGUUCUAGAACAGACCAUGUGAGUUUGUUUGGCAAAAUAGCUUUUUUAGGGUAUCCCAUUAGUAUUAAAAACAAAACCAAAGCAUAGAAUUCACAGAGAAGAAAACAAACAUGAUCCAAAGAAGAAACCAAUCUCUGGACCCCUCUCAAGAAAACACAGGCUGUAUUUUUAAACAUCAAGAGAACUGUCUGUUCCUCCUUGCAGGGUUCUGCCAAGAUAUCAGAAUGUGUUACCAAUGAGUGCAUCGUUGGGCCCACAGAAGAGCCCUGGCUCACACCUUCAGUAAAUCAUGGGAUACAAAAAGGAGGAGUUUUUCCCAUUGCAACAGGAUUUGGUGCUAAAAGUAGAUACACAAAGAAAAGAAAACUAAUGCCGAAUAAAAGAACAGAGAUGAACCCAAAAGAGAUGCAAGUAGAAGACUCUGCUGGAGGGUGAGUCGUAGAACGUAUGAAUUUAAUGCUUCCAAACUUUCUUAUUCCUUGAAUUCUUAACCCCAUCCCUAGG
rnacentral:lncRNA from 1 species